rnacentral:rRNA from 1 species
GACAGAGGGGGCAAGCGUUGCUCGGAAUUACUGGGCGUAAAGCGUGCGCAGGCGGCUUCUCAAGUCAGGGGUGAAAGCCCAGAGCUCAACUCUGGAAUUGCCUUUGAGACUGAGUGGCUUGAGUACGGGAGAGGUGAGUGGAAUUCCCAGUGUAGAGGUGAAAUUCGUAGAUAUUCGCAAGAACACCAGUGGCGAAGGCGGCUCACUGGCCCGAUACUGACGCUGAGGCACGAAAGCGUGGGGAGCAAACAGG